CAUGCAGUCGAGCGGUAGCACAGAGAGCUUGCUCUCGGGUGACGAGCGGCGGACGGGUGAGUAAUGUCUGGGAAACUGCCUGAUGGAGGGGGAUAACUACUGGAAACGGUAGCUAAUACCGCAUAAUGUCGCAAGACCAAAGUGGGGGACCUUCGGGCCUCAUGCCAUCAGAUGUGCCCAGAUGGGAUUAGCUAGUAGGUGGGGUAACGGCUCACCUAGGCGACGAUCCCUAGCUGGUCUGAGAGGAUGACCAGCCACACUGGAACUGAGACACGGUCCAGACUCCUACGGGAGGCAGCAGUGGGGAAUAUUGCACAAUGGGCGCAAGCCUGAUGCAGCCAUGCCGCGUGUAUGAAGAAGGCCUUCGGGUUGUAAAGUACUUUCAGCGGGGAGGAAGGCGAUAAGGUUAAUAACCUUGUCGAUUGACGUUACCCGCAGAAGAAGCACCGGCUAACUCCGUGCCAGCAGCCGCGGUAAUACGGAGGGUGCAAGCGUUAAUCGGAAUUACUGGGCGUAAAGCGCACGCAGGCGGUCUGUCAAGUCGGAUGUGAAAUCCCCGGGCUCAACCUGGGAACUGCAUUCGAAACUGGCAGGCUAGAGUCUUGUAGAGGGGGGUAGAAUUCCAGGUGUAGCGGUGAAAUGCGUAGAGAUCUGGAGGAAUACCGGUGGCGAAGGCGGCCCCCUGGACAAAGACUGACGCUCAGGUGCGAAAGCGUGGGGAGCAAACAGGAUUAGAUACCCUGGUAGUCCACGCCGUAAACGAUGUCGAUUUGGAGGUUGUGCCCUUGAGGCGUGGCUUCCGGAGCUAACGCGUUAAAUCGACCGCCUGGGGAGUACGGCCGCAAGGUUAAAUGUCAAAUGAAUUUGACGGGGGCCCGCACAAGCGGUGGAGCAUGUGGUUUAAUUCGAUGCAACGCGAAGAACCUUACCUGGUCUUGACAUCCACAGAACUUAGCAGAGAUGGUUUGGUGCCUUCGGGAACUGUGAGACAGGUGCUGCAUGGCUGUCGUCAGCUCGUGUUGUGAAAUGUUGGGUUAAGUCCCGCAACGAGCGCAACCCUUAUCCUUUGUUGCCAGCGGUCCGGCCGGGAACUCAAAGGAGACUGCCAGUGAUAAACUGGAGGAAGGUGGGGAUGACGUCAAGUCAUCAUGGCCCUUACGACCAGGGCUACACACGUGCUACAAUGGCAUAUACAAAGAGAAGCGACCUCGCGAGAGCAAGCGGACCUCAUAAAGUAUGUCGUAGUCCGGAUUGGAGUCUGCAACUCGACUCCAUGAAGUCGGAAUCGCUAGUAAUCGUAGAUCAGAAUGCUACGGUGAAUACGUUCCCGGGCCUUGUACACACCGCCCGUCACACCAUGGGAGUGGGUUGCAAAAGAAGUAGGUAGCUUAACCUUCGGGAGGGCGCUUACCACUUUGUGAUUCAUGACUGGGGUGAAGU
rnacentral:rRNA from 1 species